CCUCUCCCGGCUUCUCUCUGUCUCGCACUCUCCCGGUCCCUCUCUCUCUGAAUCUCUCUUUUAUGACAGCAGAUUUCCCCAUCUCCGGCUUCCGAGCCUCCGCAUCCGAGCCUUUGUUUGUCUUUAAAGAAGCCACCCCGGGCUGGGGACGCAGACGCCGCCGCCGGAGGCUUCCCCUGGCACCCUCGCCCCUACCCCGCAGCACUCCGUCCAGUUCCUGCCUCAAUUUUUGUGUUUCCUCUUGGCGGAAUCCAGCCUUCUCGGCUCACUCUCUGCACCGGCUGGGUCUUGGGAGCCCAGGCUGGAGAGGCAGCCUAGUCUACACAAGCUCUAAAGGCAGAUUCACUUUUGGUACCGAAUGGAACCCUCCUUGGAGGAUGCAGACCGGGGCUCCGCCAAACCCCGGAGCUUUGCGUCCUCCCGCCUCCUGCUGUCUCUCCGAUUAGUUCAUCCUUCCGUUCGCUGGAGAGGGGUAGGCCUGGCCUUUUCACUUCCAGGCUCCUUUCACUGGAACCAUGCUUUGUCCCCACUCCCAUCCCAACUUCAGGCACUGCAGCGCCGCUGGGUGGGCCCGGUAGGAUGCUCCGGCCCGGCUCCCCAGCACCUGCCCGGGGAAGAAGCGGAAUCCCAGCGCCUGGGUGAGAAUGGCCGGGCUGCCGAGAACAGCAGCGCUCCUCAUUCAAGGUUCUGGCCGGGACACCACAAUCUGAGGGGGACAGAAAGGUGCCUCUUGAAACUGAUUUUAGUUCUGGGGUCCGACUGGGAAGGUUUUUUUUUUUUUUUUUUCCCCUCCUCUUCUGAAACAUUUCUCUUCCACACUCAACCUUCCCUCCCAGCCUGUAGAAGCUGCCUCCCCAGGCCUCCACCCCUACCCAAUCCACCCGCUUUACACCAAGGCUGCUACCCCGUGGCUCAAAUUGGAGGCGCCAACUCCAGCACGCGGGACGCUUCCCAGAAGAGUGCGCGCAGCGGCAGCGCAGGUCGCCAUCCAGGCCCGAGUCUCGAGAGGCAAAGCCGGGCGCAGGGCCGGUCUCUGCGCUUCUGCGCUGGAGCAGCAGCUGCCAAGCCCGAGGCUCCUCCGCACGGGUCGGGUUGGGCCGGAUGGGAGGAACAAGUCAACAAGCUCGGAGCCGGAGCCGAGCUGGGGAGCCUUUGCUCCUUCCUGUCCUCCACAACUUGCUCCGGAAAGGAGCCCGGGGAAUCGAUUCACCAUAAAUUCUCCAUUGGGUUCUCCUGACCUGGCUUUCCUGCCCACGGAAGGGUAGCGCUAGCCGAGAGGGGGGCGGAAGGGUGUUUUCUACAGGGGCGGCUUGACUGGCCGGUGCAAGGUGGACUGGCCGAACAGAGUCAAUUGCAGAGCUGGGGGAAUACGGAAGAAAGGGGGGGGGGGCUGGUGUAGAGCAGGAGAAGCUACAGUCUCUGUCACUUGGGGCACAGGUGAAUGGGAAGAUGACAUUGUCAAGGCUUACAACCCAGGAUCUGACCUCCUUCUGUUGGAAGGAGGGGAAAACAACAUGCAGAAUUAAAGUUUCCUGCAGCAAAACGUGUGUGUGGGCGCAGGGGGGGUGGGGUGGGGAGAUGCCUUCAUAAAACCUAGGAGACUCUCAGAAGACCACCGCUGCCUUUCCUUGCCCUUCCUAGCCCACCAGCUUAGGGGCUGAGUUAACCCCACUUGCCCUUGAGUCCAUGCCCCUGGCAGAGUUCAGGAUUCCAUGGGGAUGCUGUUGAGCUGCUGAGCCCUCUGAGCAGCAGUGUCUCAUUGAGGCAUGUGUCUCUGGACAUCUUGGUGGGUAUUGCAUCAGGGGUGAAACCUGGGCUUGCCUGAUGGUCUGCGGGCUGUUCUGCCAGAUUGGGGGUGUGAUGGUCUGCAUUUGGGGUGUCGCUUCAUGGGAGUGUUGAUGGUGAGCUGUCCCCCAUUAUUACUGCGGGCUCCAGGCUUUAUGCGUGCAGGUGUCUGCUGGGCUGUGUGCAGUUGGUGAGUCCCUGGGUGACUUUGGGAUAGGGGCAGGGG
ensembl:lncRNA